rnacentral:rRNA from 1 species
AGUCGAACGAAGUAGCAAUACUUAGUGGCAGACGGGUGAGUAACAUGUAGGUAUCUGCCCUUUGGCCUGGAAUAACACGAGGAAACUUGUGCUAAUACCGGAUAAGUCUUUACGGAGAAAGCUUUAUGCACCAUUGGAUGAGCCUGCACUUGAUUAGUUUGUUGGUAGGGUAAUGGCCUACCAAGACUAUGAUCAAUAGCUGAUUUGAGAGGAUGAUCAGCCACAUUGGGACUGAGACACGGCCCAAACUCCUACGGGAGGCAGCAGUGGGGAAUCUUGCACAAUGGAGGAAACUCUGAUGCAGCGAUGCCGCGUGAGUGAAGAAGGCCCUUGGGUUGUAAAGCUCUUUCGUCGGGGAAGAAAAUGACUGUACCCGAAUAAGAAGGUCCGGCUAACUUCGUGCCAGCAGCCGCGGUAAUACGAAGGGACCUAGCGUAGUUCGGAAUUACUGGGCUUAAAGAGUUCGUAGGUGGUUGAAAAAGUUGGUGGUGAAAUCCCAGAGCUUAACUCUGGAACUGCCAUCAAAACUUUUCAGCUAGAGUAUGAUAGAGGAAAGCAGAAUUUCUAGUGUAGAGGUGAAAUUCGUAGAUAUUAGAAAGAAUACCAAUUGCGAAGGCAGCUUUCUGGAUCAUUACUGACACUGAGGAACGAAAGCAUGGGUAGCGAAGAGGAUUAGAUACCCUCGUAGUCCAUGCCGUAAACGAUGUGUGUUAGACGUUGGAAAUUUAUUUUCAGUGUCGCAGCGAAAGCGAUAAACACACCGCCUGGGGAGUACGACCGCAAGGUUAAAACUCAAAUGAAUUGAC